rnacentral:rRNA from 1 species
CAGUCGAACGGAGAUACCCGCUGAUGAAGUACUUCGGUAAUGAUUCUUGGAUAUCUUAGUGGCGGACGGGUGAGUAACGCGUGAGCAACCUGCCUUUCGGAGGGGGAUAACGUUUGGAAACGAACGCUAAUACCGCAUGAUAUUAUUGAGCUGCAUGGCUUGAUAAUCAAAGGAGUAAUCCGCUGAAAGAUGGGCUCGCGUCCGAUUAGGUAGUUGGCGGGGCAACGGCCCACCAAGCCGACGAUCGGUAGCCGGACUGAGAGGUUGAACGGCCACAUUGGGACUGAGACACGGCCCAGACUCCUACGGGAGGCAGCAGUGAGGGAUAUUGGUCAAUGGGGGAAACCCUGAACCAGCAACGCCGCGUGAGGGAAGACGGUUUUCGGAUUGUAAACCUCUGUCCUCUGUGAAGAUAAUGACGGUAGCAGAGGAGGAAGCUCCGGCUAACUACGUGCCAGCAGCCGCGGUAAUGCGUAGGGAGCAAGCGUUGUCCGGAUUUACUGGGUGUAAAGGGUGCGUAGGCGGCUUUGCAAGUCAGAAGUGAAAUCCAUGGGCUUAACCCAUGAACUGCUUUUGAAACUGCAGAGCUUGAGUGGAGUAGAGGUAGGCGGAAUUCCCGGUGUAGCGGUGAAAUGCGUAGAGAUCGGGAGGAACACCAGUGGCGAAGGCGGCCUGCUGGGCUCUAACUGACGCUGAGGCACGAAAGCGUGGGUAGCAAACAGGAUUA